AGAGUUUGAUCCUGGCUCAGAUUGAACGCUGGCGGCAUGCCUUACACAUGCAAGUCGAACGGCAGCACGGGAGCAAUCCUGGUGGCGAGUGGCGAACGGGUGAGUAAUACAUCGGAACGUGCCCAGUAGUGGGGGAUAGCCCGGCGAAAGCCGGAUUAAUACCGCAUACGACCUAUGGGUGAAAGCGGGGGAUCGCAAGACCUUGCGCUAUUGGAGCGGCCGAUGUCAGAUUAGGUUGUUGGUGGGGUAAAGGCCUACCAAGCCGACGAUCUGUAGCUGGUCUGAGAGGACGACCAGCCACACUGGGACUGAGACACGGCCCAGACUCCUACGGGAGGCAGCAGUGGGGAAUUUUGGACAAUGGGCGCAAGCCUGAUCCAGCCAUGCCGCGUGCGGGAAGAAGGCCUUCGGGUUGUAAACCGCUUUUGUCAGGGAAGAAACGCUCCGGGCUAAUACCUCGGAGUAAUGACGGUACCUGAAGAAUAAGCACCGGCUAACUACGUGCCAGCAGCCGCGGUAAUACGUAGGGUGCAAGCGUUAAUCGGAAUUACUGGGCGUAAAGCGUGCGCAGGCGGUUGUGCAAGACAGAUGUGAAAUCCCCGGGCUCAACCUGGGAACUGCAUUUGUGACUGCAUAGCUGGAGUGCGGCAGAGGGGGAUGGAAUUCCGCGUAGCAGUGAAAUGCGUAGAUAUGCGGAGGAACACCGAUGGCGAAGGCAAUCCCCUGGGCCUGCACUGACGCUCAUGCACGAAAGCGUGGGGAGCAAACAGGAUUAGAUACCCUAGUAGUCC
rnacentral:rRNA from 1 species